rnacentral:rRNA from 1 species
UGCGUAGGCGGAAUAUUAAGUCAGUGGUGAAAUCCUGCGGCUCAACCGUAGAACUGCCAUUGAUACUGAUAUUCUUGAAUGUAGUUGAGGUAGGCGGAAUGUGUAAUGUAGCGGUGAAAUGCUUAGAUAUUACACAGAACACCGAUUGCGAAGGCAGCUUACUAAACUAUGAUUGACGCUGAGGCACGAAAGCGUGGGGAGCAAACAGGAUUAGAUACCCUGGUAGUCC